rnacentral:rRNA from 1 species
AAAAACAUUUCCUCUUGGUAUAAGAGGUAAGGCCUGCUCACUGACUAGGUUGAAGAGCCGCAGUAUAUUGACUGUGCUAAGGUAGCAUAAUCAUUAGUCCUUUAAUUGGGGACUGGUAUGAAUGGCUAAACGAGAAAUUAGCUUUCUUUGUUAUGGUUUGUUGAAUUUAACUUGUAAGUGAAAAGGCUUACAUGAUUCAGAAAGACGAGAAGACCCUAUAGAGUUUUACAAAGGCCUAAAAUACAGCUUAUUAGUUUUUAAGGGUUAUAUUUUGGAAAUUUGUUUGGUUGGGGCGACAUAAAGAUAAAAAAAACUCUUUGUAGUAUAAACUUUGGUGGAAGAAAAGGUUUGAUCCUCUUAAAGGGAUUAUAAGAAAAAAUUACCUUAGGGAUAACAGCGUAAUCUUCUUUUAGAGUUCAAAUCGACAAGAAGGUUUGCGACCUCGAUGUUGGACUAAAAUUUGGGCAAGGUGCAGCAGCUUUGUUUUUGGGUCUGUUCGACCCGUAAUAUUUUACAUGAUCUGAGUU